CUAAAAACAUGUAGGUUUUGUAUCAUUCUUAAGUUGCUGUAACAUUGAGAUGUGAAAUUUGGAGGAUUCGAAAUAAAUGCAGCUAAAUGGAACUUUUGGAUGAAGAAUCCCUGGUUUGUUCAGAUCUGUUAAAGUAAUAGGGGAAAGCACAAAAGGAUCAAGAAAAGGAAGGCCCCAAUCUUUGUUCGAUGACUGAUAAAACAGCAUUACUUGGGUGAAAAUUGGCCUGACCUUCACCUACAGGAUGCUUCCGCUGCCUCAGUGAUUCUUGCUUCGCUCUGAUUAGACUCUCCUCUAAAGCUCUGCUGGGAGAGGACGGCCGGAGAAAGACACAAGUCUCCCUCAGCUGGCUGGAACAGAAACAUCACUGAGUUACACCAGGUCCUAUUUGCCAUCCAUUUCUUCUUUUUGCCACA